rnacentral:rRNA from 1 species
AGUGAACGCUGGCGGUAGGCCUAACACAUGCAAGUCGAACGGCAGCACAGUAAGAGCCUGCUCUUACGGGUGGCGAGUGGCGGACGGGUGAGGAAUACAUCGGAAUCUACUUUUUCGUGGGGGAUAACGUAGGGAAACUUACGCUAAUACCGCAUACGACCUACGGGUGAGAGCAGGGGAUCUUCGGACCUUGCGCGAUUGAAUGAGCCGAUGUCGGAUUAGCUAGUUGGCGGGGUAAAGGCCCACCAAGGCGCCGAUCCGUAGCUGGUCUGAGAGGAUGAUGAGCCACACUGGAACUGAGACACGGUCCCGACUCCUACGGGAGGCAGCAGUGUGGAAUAUUGGACAAUGGGCGCAAGCCUGAUCCAGCCAUACCGCGUGGGUGAAGAAGGCCUUCGGGUUGUAAAGCCCUUUUGUUGGGAAAGAAGAGCAGCAGGUUAAUACCCCGCUGUUCUGACGGUACCCAAAGAAUAAGCACCGGCUAACUUCGUG